UUGUUAGGCACAGAGCAGCGUGCUGUGAACUACUCCGGGGUCUUGGCAAGAGCACAGCAAGCAGUGGACAAGUUCUAUAAAAUUGAUUUUCCAAUAGUGUUGGCAUUUUCGAGAGGAAAGGGAAAAGAGACAGCAGCAGUGUGAAGCCAUCGGAUCACGUGCGUUCCUACUUAUGAAAAGGACUUGUGCUUAUCUCAGGUUAGCAACAGGAUAUGCAGUUUUAGGGCUGAUAUCAAAGGCAUUUUGGUUUAUUUAUUUAUUUAGCCACUUGCAAUAGAUGCUGUGUUGUCAGCUCCAGGAGCUGAAGUCCCUUAUUUAUGUGCCUGGAUUUCCCUGUGUCAUUCUGCCAGCGUGGCUCAACCCUGAUCUGGUUUCCACACUCAUUCAGCACUUGCUGAAAUAGUCACCUAGGGAGUAAACACUGCCAGCCAUGGCCGUGCUUUCUGAGAUAUGGAGCCCAGCCCAGUCAGAAGUUUGCCAAGAUAACCUCAUUGCAUCAUGUGCCAAAGAGCCUCAAACAGCUGGAGCAUUGAAGGACUGUGACAUUUAAACAAGAUACUGAAAAUGCAAGGUAAUCAUCGUCAUGUUAGAAUGCAUGCAAAUGUGGAAUUUAGAAAUUAAAGACUUCCUACCAUAUUUUUAUAUAUUCACCAGGCAACAUCUAGGUUCAAGGAACAGAUUAAAUACCUGGGACACUGACUUUUUUCAGUGGUGGCUUCUGGUGAGAAGCAAGGACAGUGUGGAGCCUGAAGUCAAGCAGAGGACUGUAAUUCCUCUCUCCAUUAACUAG
rnacentral:lncRNA from 1 species